rnacentral:rRNA from 1 species
GACGAACGCUGGCGGCGUGCUUAACACAUGCAAGUCGAACGGUGAUGCUCCAGCUUGCUGGAGUGGAUCAGUGGCGAACGGGUGAGUAACACGUGAGCAACCUGCCCCAGACUCUGGAAUAAGCGCUGGAAACGGCGUCUAAUACUGGAUACGAAACUGGCCCGCAUGGGCAUGGUUUGGAAAGUUUUUCGGUUUGGGAUGGGCUCGCGGCCUAUCAGCUCGUUGGUGAGGUAAUGGCUCACCAAGGCGACGACGGGUAGCCGGCCUGAGAGGGCGACCGGCCACACUGGGACUGAGACACGGCCCAGACUCCUACGGGAGGCAGCAGUGGGGAAUAUUGCACAAUGGGCGAAAGCCUGAUGCAGCGACGCCGCGUGAGGGAUGACGGCCUUCGGGUUGUAAACCUCUUUCAGCAGGGAAGAAGCGAAAGUGACGGUACCUGCAGAAGAAGCACCGGCUAACUACGUG